rfam:Ficedula albicollis isolate OC2 chromosome 1A, whole genome shotgun sequence.
CCAAAGGCUCUUUUAAGAGCCACCCACGUUUUCUUUCAAAAGAGCU